AGCGAACGCUGGCGGCAGGCCUAACACAUGCAAGUCGAACGAACUCUUCGGAGUUAGUGGCGUACGGGUGAGUAACACGUGGGAACGUGCCUUUAGGUUCGGAAUAACUCAGGGACACUUGUGAUAAUACCGAAUGUGCCCUUCGGGGGAAAGAUUUAUUGCCUUUAGAGCGGCCCGAGUCUGAUUAGCUAGUUGGUGAGGUAAAGGCUCACCAAGGCGACGAUCAGUAGCUGGUCUGAGAGGAUGAUCAGCCACAUUGGGACUGAGACACGGCCCAAACUCCUACGGGAAGCAGCAGUGGGGAAUCGUGCGCAAUGGGCGAAAGCCUGACGCAGCCAUGCCGCGUGAAUGAUGAAGGUCUUAGGAUUGUAAAAUUCUUUCACCGGGGACGAUAAUGACGGUACCCGGAGAAGAAGCCCCGGCUAACUUCGUG
rnacentral:rRNA from 1 species